GCGCGUGCAUGGAUUCGCAGGAUUGAGAAAAGGGCCAACGUGAUCUUUCUCGAUCCUCGGUGAUCAAUAACCUCGCACCCUCGUGCUCGCGAGCACUCAGCGGCAUACCCAGGAUAUUGAUGCACUCGCGGCACGGCGUCAAGUAUGCACGCUCUGAAGUCGCUCAUAGUCGCGUAUUAGUUCGAUAUGAUUGCUGCUCUGAUGAACCUUCCGAAGUUCGAACCACCGUUCGAACUUUUCAAAUAGCCCGAUGAGGAUCGGAUCGAAUGAGAGCUCGUGCGGAAUAAAUCGAUACACCGAUUCCGAGGAGCGACUUGCAGAUACCCCCCGGCCGUUGGUACUUUCUGGCAGCCGAAUUAAGUGCAGCCGAACCAAGGUCUUCAAGCUUACAUCUUAUCUUUCAUUCCAGAUCAGUCCCAUCUCGGUUCGGCUUUUGGUUAUUCAGCACGAGCGGAUUCUCAUUCGGCGUUAAUCAUAGAUUGCAGUCACGGCGACGUUUACCGCUAGACGCUAGCUAGCGUCUGUGCGGACCUGGUCUUGUAUUUUCUGCAUACGAUAAGAGCGAAUGAAAGGUCAGAGGAGGAGCCGUAUAAGCGACUGCACGGUGCACUUUAGUCGGGUCGCGUUGCACGUAAUUCGCAACGGCCUGCUCAUUACUGCGAGCAGUAAUCCACUCCGGGCGGAUGCACGCGGAUACAUACCGAUGAAGCGAUAUUAGAAUACAUAUAUACAAUUCCAGUGGAGGGCAUGAUACAUUCACGUACACGGGGCGUACAAUUUCAAAAUGAUUGGAACUCCGGCGGAGGCUUUCAUCAGCAGUUUCCCGGGAAAUAGCGCAGGAACAGUUACGUACAGUUCGAGAAGCAAAAAAUUCUACCCUUUCACAAUUGUCUCCUUCGCUGGAAAAAAAGGAGAGCCGCGUUUUCUCCGCAGUUUUUGGGAAACAAAAGCGAAACGCUGAGAACGCGAGAUUCAAUUUUAUUUCUGAAUGUAAUCUAAAUGAAUUCGGAAGCUUUUCGAUUUGCAGCCGAGGCUCGCCAGGUCCUCGGACCUGGAGCUUUUUCCGGGCGAGUACUCAUCCUCGGUCGAUGCAUCUCGUAACUUCUGUUCCCCCUUGCCCCCGCACGUUCCUCUACUCGUCGGUGCGUUUUAUCAUCGCGAUGAAAUUCUCGGAGCGACAGGUGCAUGAAAUGUUUUUUGAUCGACCGGCGUAACGUCGUUAAUCUUCCGUAAACGGCCCAACAAUCCGCCGAUUGCCGGGAAAUAUCGAGGAAAGUUUCACCGGCACGUGCCGCAUUUUUGUUUUAUCGUUCUCACGCGAGAUUUCCUUCGGAAUCAAUCGUGCGACCGAGUUGACUUUUCGUUUCCACCCUUUAAAAUAGUGAUAUCGUAUAGCUAGCAUAGGUAGCGACAAUCUAUACCUAACUAGGAUCAACGCCGGCCGAUAUUGGCAGAAUCGACCCAUUGCGGUCCGUUCUCAUAAACGCUGGUUAAAGAUAACUAAAGUUGAAACGAUUCUGUGUCCCCCUUUCUACACGUAGAACUAAAGAAAGCAAAGUUGGUUAUAAUCCCAGUUGAUCUUAACGAAUACUUGUGCAGACCUAUGCGUUGAAAUUGCCUAUUUUGAGGGGUUUCACUACCGUUGGAUACAUACUCUGCUCUUUUUAUAGCUGGAAAUUUCAAACAACGCAACAACACUUGUCUUCGCUCAAAAGUUUUAUUUUUUGCUCGGACAGAUGUUCUCUUGCUCGCUGCACAUUAGUACAUUUGAUAUUUCGGUGGUAAUGUAAUUUUGCGUGUGUGUAAAUUAUUUUUAUAUUAACAAUGUGUAUUAUAUAGUAUUGAUUCAAUCCAGUGAUACGACGACGCAUCAUACGACGACGCGCGUCAUAAAAUUCGUUUUUCUCUCCGCAAAAAUUACAGUUUUAUUGGACGAGCGAUUUUAUGGGAGCUAUAAUAAUACAAAAUACAAUAGUUUGCUACGUCGCAAUAAAGUUCGCAAUAAAGUAACCACGUAACGAGAGUUCGGUAUCUGUUUACAAAAAAAAGGUCAGAUGACAUCGAUCAUUUUCACGUUUGCGCUUUCCGAGCAUUAAAAGUUGUUACAGAAAAGCCUGUGGAAAUAAGAGAACUGUAACAUAUAAUUCAAUGAUAUCCUGCACGUUGCAAAUUUAUAGGACGCUCCGGAAAACGUACGCUGUGAUAACGCGAUACGGGUAAUCUCUGUCGAAAUUAAAGACGCACACGUUUUCGCCAUUAAAUUUCAUAUUCGGCUGAAAAUUAAUGUGCAAAAUUUUAUGAAAAAGAUUAAAACAUCAAUGUUAAAUCGUAUAAAAUGUUAUUUUGUAUUGGUUACGAGAUGCAGAGUGUAAAAGUUCUGAGAGACCAAGUUCUCUCUCCUUUAGAAUAUGCGAGCGCUUUUAGGAUAUGUGAUAUAUACGCAGCCUCAUGGCUUGCAUCGGAACAUUUCGCGGAAAAUGCAUUUGACAGAUUUCACGUAACGUAAGUUGAUUUCAGUGUAACGUGACGUUUAUCAAUACUUUGAGAGCUCGUUUGCAUAUUUCGACGGAGACUUGGUACCACGGUUCAACGUUCUAAUAAUUAUUGAUUGAUAUCAGAUUAAUUGGAACGGGCAGAUUGUUAACGACGAUGAAUCACGAGUGCGCCAACGUUCGUCCGUCUACCAAAAAUGUUAUAAAUGUGACGUUAUAAAUGUGUAAGGGGGUCACUUGAGAAAAUCCACGAAAAUACUGUCCCCGUUCCGUUUUACGGAUUUAACGAUCCGGAAAUCUCAUUUGCGUUCACUUGAUAUACUAUGUCGAAUCAGCCAAUUUAGCUGCUGUUUGGGAUUUUUGCGAUCAAUCGGCUACAAUUUUCUUUGACGCACGUGGCAUCGAUUCGUGUUCGCUUCAACGUAAAAAACAGACGUUAUUUACUUCUUUUGUGGACGGAAUUAGAUUUUUACGUGUGUGACACAUAAAUUGUCGUGAAAUGAAUUCACGUCAUAAACUCUGUCUAUAUUUUACUUUUGAUUUCAUGUUUUUCGUAUCCCAAUUUCUAUAUCCAGAAUACACAUUCCAGAAUAGCGCUGCAAUAAUUUUUCGUACGGCCACUGUUGUCGCGCACUGAAAUUUGUUUAUUAUUUAUGCUUUCGCAAAAUUAGUCUACUUGGGUUUAGUACAUUGAUUGCAUAACAUGUUUUCGUUCAGACGGGUAUUUCAGUUAACUAAUGGAACAAUAAGUAAUGGAGUAUUCACGAAUUAUAUAUAGAUAUAAGAGACGCAAUUAUAUACAAAACAGUACGAAAAUAUAUGUAUUAUACAAAGAGCUGCUCGUGUGCUGUACUGAAUAACAUCAUCC